AGUGAACGCUGGCGGCGUGCCUAAGACAUGCAAGUCGAACGAGAAAGCAUCUUCGGGUGUGAUUAAAGUGGCGCACGGGUGAGUAACACCUGGGCAACCUACCCUUCAGAGGGGGACAACUCCGGGAAACCGGAGCUAAUACCGCGUAAGCCCUAUUUUUCCACGGAUUUAUAGGGGAAAGCUUUUGCGCUGAAGGAUGGGCCCGGGUCCAAUUAGUUUGUUGGUGGGGUAACGGCCUACCAAGACGACGAUGGGUAGCUGGUCUGAGAGGAUGAUCAGCCACACUGGUACUGGAACACGGACCAGACUCCUACGGGAGGCAGCAGUUAGGAAUUUUGCGCAAUGGGGGAAACCCUGACGCAGCAACGCCGCGUGAGUGAAGAAGGCCCUAGGGUUGUAAAGCUCUUUCGAGUGGGAAGAAAAAAAUGACGGUACCACUAGAAGAAGCACCGGCUAACUCCG
rnacentral:rRNA from 1 species